rnacentral:sRNA from 1 species
GAUACAAGGGUCAAAAGGCCAUGCGUUUCAUGCUUGCAUGAAAAAGCAUGACUUAUUGACCCGCAAAACACCGAAAAGUAGCCAUUUUUCGUAGAAAAAUGAGCGGAUUUGAGAUGUUUUAGGAUUGCGAGAGCAUGAAAUGCGGAGCAAUCCGU